rnacentral:rRNA from 1 species
CUCAGGAUGAACGCUAGCGGCAGGCCUAACACAUGCAAGUCGAGGGGUAACGAUGGCUUCGGCCAGGCGACGACCGGCGCACGGGUGAGUAUCGCGUUUGUAACCUACCUCUGACUGGAGGAUAGCCCGAAGAAAUUCGGAUUAAUACUCCAUAAUACUAUGGACAGGCAUCUGUUCAUGGUUAAAGCCCCGGCGGUCAGAGAUGGGCAUGCGUGACAUUAGCUUGUUGGUGAGGUAACAGCUCACCAAGGCUACGAUGUCUAGGGGGUCUGAGAGGAUGGUCCCCCACACUGGUACUGAGACACGGACCAGACUCCUACGGGAGGCAGCAGUGAGGAAUAUUGGUCAAUGGGCGAAAGCCUGAACCAGCCAUGCCGCGUGAAGGAUGACAGCCCUAUGGGUUGUAAACUUCUUUUGUACGGGAAGAAACGCUUCUACGUGUAGAGGUUUGACGGUACCGUACGAAUAAGCAUCGGCUAACUCCGUGCCAGCAGCCGCGGUAAUACGGAGGAUGCAAGCGUUAUCCGGAUUUAUUGGGUUUAAAGGGUACGUAGGCGGGAGCUUAAGUCAGUGGUGAAAUCCUGCAGCUUAACUGUAGAACUGUCAUUGAUACUGGGCUUCUUGAAUGUAGUUGAGGUAGGCGGAAUGUGUAAUGUAGCGGUGAAAUGCUUAGAUAUUACACAGAACACCGAUUGCGAAGGCAGCUUACUAAACUACGAUUGACGCUGAGGUACGAAAGCGUGGGGAGCGAACAGGAUUAGAUACCCUGGUAGUCCACGCUGUAAACGAUGAUCACUCGUUGUUGGCAAUACACCGUCAGCGACUGAGCGAAAGCAUUAAGUGAUCCACCUGGGG